rnacentral:rRNA from 1 species
UACGAAGGGGGCGAGCGUUAUCCGGAAUUACUGGGUGUAAAGGGAGCGUAGACGGCGAAGUAAGCCUGAAGUGGAAGCCCGCGGCCCAACCGCGGAACUGCUUUGGGAACUGCUUAGCUGGAGUAUGGGAGGGGUAAGCGGAAUUCCUGGUGUAGCGGUGAAAUGCGUAGAUAUCAGGAGGAACACCGGUGGCGAAGGCGGCUUACUGGACCAUGACUGACGUUGAGGCUCGAAAGCGUGGGGAGCGAACAGG